UACGUAGGGGGCAAGCGUUGUCCGGAUUUAUUGGGCGUAAAGCGCACGCAGGCGGUCUCUUAAGUUUCGAGUGACAGGUCAGGGCUUAACCCUGGCAGGCCUUGGAAAACUGGGGGACUUGAGGGCUUCAGAGGGACGCGGAAUUCCAGGUGGAGCGGUGAAAUGCGUAGAGAUCUGGAAGAACACCAACGGCGAAGGCAGCUCGCUGGGACGGAACUGACGCUAAGGCGCGAAAGCGUGGGGAGCGAACAGG
rnacentral:rRNA from 1 species